UGUGCUAGGUGGGGAGUUAGCGGUGCCCUGUAUCUGCAAUCCGCUAUAGCAGAACCGAAUGCCUCCCUCGGAUCAGUGCGUGGAAGGCUGCGCGUCGAAAGGGAUGUUGAUCGCAAGGUCUUAUGCAACGUGCUACCGUGAACCGUGUCAGGAUAGGGAUAUAGCAGCACUAAGCGGAUUUGUGCGUGUGCCAUGAGGUAGCUUUGAAGGAGUUUCCUGCGGCGCUUCCGC
rnacentral:SRP_RNA from 1 species